GGGACAUUAAUACCUUCUAAGACAUUGACUAAUAUAUAUAAUAACAAGUGUUAAAAGUGCUCACCCACCAAUUAAUUUGCCCAUCUGGUACCUCUAAUCAGGAAUGAGAAUACACCAUUAACUUGGCCAAUAUGGUGCUUUUGAUCAAUAAUUUCCCAACAGUUCCAAGUUUAGGUAGCGGACAUGUGAGUAUGUGCUUAGCUUAUUCCGGCUACGUCACUGAUUCAGUGGAUGCUUUUCAUGUAUGCGGAGGAUCCAAUUUCCGUCAACCAAAUCAAGAUUGUACAAAUGCAUGUACUUAAUGCAGAAUCCUUUUUUUUU
rnacentral:misc_RNA from 1 species